GUUUUCGAAAAUAUUCAGGUUUACUUUACAUCAUCAUUGCAUUUAUUCAUGAUUUAAGAUAUUCUACAUUGCACACAUGGAAUUGGAUAAUGAUAUUGUCAAGGUGGGUCAAGCUUGGAUGUCCUACACAUUACUUCUAGGGGCAGGUAGGGGGAAUUCAAUACCUAUCGACAACGCGUAUCUAAGCACUUUCGCAACACAAGCAUGUCCUUAUACUGCACCAAUAAAAUUUCUAGGACACAAUCUUAUAAACAGAUCAUAUAUAGGAGCGAUGUGCAUACAUGAACCCAGUAAUAACCUAAAAUAUGAUACAGGAAUAUCACUAAAGGACAAUGAUUUACGGUUCACUUCCAUGUUGAAUGAGGAAAUGAUACCAUCAUUGGUAACUGGCAUAGAAUCUGUACCUACAGAAUUAGGAAUACCUGACUCAGAUGUAUACGCAUACUUAUCAUCAUCUAACACAGUACUGACGACCAAAGGAAAAAUUAUAUCUAAGAAUCAAAUACCCAGCAAAUGUCCAAACAUUAAAAUAAUAUCAACUUACCAGAUGAAGAAAUUAAUAAGUGAAUCAAUCAAGAUUAAAACAGCAUUAGAUAACAAAAAUACUACAGAUGAAAAUUCUUCUGACACAAGUAAGCAACAUGAUAAAAACACAGAUUUCGACAGAUUUUAUGACAGUUUCGAAUUACUAUCACUAUCUGUAAAUAAAAAAAAGCCACAAUAGCUGGGAAAAUCGAAAAACAGGAGUUCACCAUUGGCAAAUUAGAAUAUCCAAUCUAUUCUGACUUAAUACCAGUAAGAUCAGUUAGUGUCAAGGUGGUAAAUUAUGAAUACUCCAGCCAGCCUUCCUUCACGCCAUAUUAUAAGUCAAUUGAAAAACGUUUGAAGGACCCCUCAGAGAUCAAUUUAAAUUGGGACUUUAUCAAUAGAUGGUACUUUGGAAACAUAGCCUCAAUGAUAUCUUUGAUCAAAACAGAUAGCUUUCACGAAGAGGCCGCUUUAGUUAGGCUCAUUUGUAUGAUUAAUUCGAACUCCAGUGACGCUUAUCAAAUUGACCCAGUUAGUUACAAAUUUGUUCGGCGUGUAAAAAACACUGGUGUUCAUGAUGAGAUACACCCUACUCUAUCAUCUUACGCAAAAUUUCCAAACAAUUCUAAAUUCAUCGUAACAACUAUAGAUAUGGCUGGGUCUUGCCUAAGGCACAAAAUGUUCCCAUAUGUUUUGCAAGAAAUAUUUAAACCAUCAGAGCUUGACUUGACCUGGACAGUGAUACCAAUAAUGUCUGAAAGCAUGUAAGGAAUUUUCUUCCCUGCUUACUGCGCUGCAUUUUUAGAUUCAUCCCUUUGGCAUGGGAAAAUUUAUUGGAAUGGCAAAUAUGAUGUAUCAACAGAUGAAAAAGGUACAAUGAAUAAAAUCAUUAUUGCAGGGAUGCCCAUGUCUAAUAAUGUCAUUAUACCUGGUCCAACCAACUUUAUGUUAGCCCUUAACUCAACUGAUGAAAUUUUUUCAAUAAACUUUGGUGACCGGAUACUGGACGUAUGGGUAGACAUUAAGCGUGAUCCCAUUAUAUACGAUUUCAUCGACAUUUGGAAAUCGUACUUUAAGACAGAACGUUUCUCAGAAAUAUCCCUCCACAUGGAAUAUUGCUACGAAUAUAUAUGCGAGUACCUGUCUACAUCCGACUCCUGCACAAAAGCAUUAUCGAUGGCAAGCGAAUUAUUCGCUGCUAACACUCCAGGCAUAUUAGCAUCGGGACCAAAUGAUAUAAAUCCCGGUGGUUCGUGGACCAUAGGAGGGGGUGGACUCACUGCUAAGGGUUUAGGUUCAUCAGACAUAUUUAAAGGAUGUGCGGGCCCUUCUAAUGCCCCAGCCAGGAAACGAUUAAUCGGAUUCAAUUUUUCUAACCGAUCACCCUUGCUCAACUACGCCAAUAGUAGCGCCAGAAUACAGUCGACACCAAAGAACAUUACCGUCAAUGAUUACAGUUACGUAGAUGCCAUUGAUGUUGCAUGGACUUCUAUUUUUCCCGAGGUUCACAAUACCCAAUACAGUGUGCGUACUUGUACAUCAAUAUACAGGAUGGGUAUAGCAUUAAAUUUAAUUGACACCACUCAUGGAAAUCAAGAAUCUCGAGGAUCAAACAGAUUACAAAACUACAUCAACGCAGUUUCAAAUGCUUUAAUGUUAUCAUCAUGUCAUACUAUAUUAAGUGGAAAUAUACCAUUAAAUAGCUAUACAGGGGUUGAAACCCACCUAAAUUUUAAUCAAAUUGAAGAAAUGAAAAACCUUAAAGAACAGGCCACACUAUAUUACAGCAACUUAAAUCAAUUAAAACACAUGGUGAAUACAGAAGCUCACUGGGAUUGGUCAGCCAUAAUCGAUUACUAUGGGGUAUCAUACGAUGAUGACGACUUUGAAACUUGCUUGCCAAUACCUUUCCCAUAUCUGGCACAGUGGUGGAGGAAACUGGGGAAUGUGAUAUGGCCAGAUAGGUUAACUAUUUACCCAUGUAAUCUGCCAUAUAAAUGUGCAUCUACAAACGAGGGAGCAAUCCAAAUGUCAAGCCUAUCCCCAUUACAGAGGUGUUGCGCACCUUCUACGCCAGACAUCUUUUCAUAUUGCCCAACAGUUUGGUCAUCCAGAAAAUCUGGUAAGUUUGAGACUUUAAAACUAUGGUACGAAGACUUACAAACAAUUUCAUUGUGCGAACACAAAGUAGGGGACAUCAGAUUUACUUCCAUGGCUUUCAGCUUGCCAACACAUUGUUAUCCACUAAACCAGAAGAGAGAGCAAGAUGCAUAUAUACUCAAUUAUAAAAAUUUCAUCUACUACAGCAAUCCACUCGUAUCGGAUAUCAUGAUACCUUUGAUGCCAAAUAUGAAGCAUUUAUUGGAAAAAACGAAAGAGCACAUCUUGUUUCCGCCUAUUCCUGGUGGUAUAGGAUUUUUAGCAGGGGAACAGAAGCAAUAGUUUAGAUUAGCAUGACUAGUACGAUAAUUAGCUACCGACAUACAAGCAAAAUACAAAGACAAUUCUAUCACUGCCAAUAUACAACUUUCUUUUAUUUUAUUUUUCCGCUAAUCUCCAUCCAACCAAUCCAAUCCAUUCGACAUUUUCAAAAUUUGAAGUUAGAAAAAUUCUAUAAUUGCAGUGCUCCACUCGACAUUUUCAUAGAAGAAUAGAACUUUUAGAAGUGAACAAUAAUACCAAACAGAUUUAACAACAUCAUAUUUGGUAUUGGCACCUCAACAACCUCAACUGGUAUGAAACAAAAAUCAAUUAAGAAUUUCUUCAAGAAAUCAGUGCCAGUGAUUCCUGAGGUGGUGGAACUUAAGCAUCUUUGUGAUCGUGUUCGUGUAUUGGAAACUAGUGCUUUAACCUCAAAGCAAUCUAAAUCUCAAGAAGAUGACUAUCAUGUAUUGGAAACUGCUUUAACCUCUAAACAAUCUAAAUCUCAAGAAGAUGACUAUCAUG